rnacentral:rRNA from 1 species
AUUGAACGCUGGCGGCAGGCCUAACACAUGCAAGUCGAGCGAGCGGCGGACGGGUGAGUAAUGUAUGGGAAAGUGCCUGAUGGAGGGGGAUAACUACUGGAAACGGUGGCUAAUACCGCAUACCAUCAGAUGUGCCCAGAUGGGAUUUGCUAGUAGGUGGGGUAACGGCUCACCUAGGCGACGAUCCCUAGCUGGUCUGAGAGGAUGACCAGCCACACUGGAACUGAGACACGGUCCAGACUCCUACGGGAGGCAGCAUUGGGGAAUAUUGCACAAUGGGCGCAAGCCUGAUGCAGCCAUCCCGCGUGUAUGAAGAAGGCCUUCGGGUUGUAAAGUACUUUCGGCGGUGAGGCGUUACCCGCAGAAGAAGCACCGGCUAACUCCGUGCCAGCCGCCGCGGUAAUAC